rnacentral:rRNA from 1 species
UCGAGGAUCUUUCGCAAUGGGCGAAAGCCUGACGAAGCGACGCUGUGUGAGCGAUGAAGGCCUUCGGGUCGUAAAGCUCUUUCGCAUAGGAACAAGGAAGGCUGGUGAAUAACCAGUUAACUUGAGUGUACUAUGUAAAGAAGCACCGGCUAACUCCGUGCCAGCAGCUGCGGUAAUACGGAGGGUGCAAGCAUUAAUCGGAAUUAUUGGGCGUAAAGGGCGCGUAGGCGGGUUUGCAAGUCAGAUGUGAAAUACCAAAGCUCAACUUUGGUGCUGCAUUUGAAACUGCAAGUCUUGAGGAAUGGCGGAGAAAACGGAAUUCCACGUGUAGCGGUGAAAUGCGUAGAUAUGUGGAAGAACACCGGUGGCGAAAGCGGUUUUCUAGCUAUUUCCUGACGCUGAGGCGCGAGAGCAAGGGGAGCAAACAGGAUUAGAUACCCGCGUAGUCC